AUUCUACGGGAGGCAGCAGUGGGGAAUUUUGGACAAUGGGGGCAACCCUGAUCCAGCCAUUCCGCGUGAGUGAAGAAGGCCUUCGGGUUGUAAAGCUCUUUUGUCCGGAGCGAAACGGGGAGUGUGAAUAGCGCUCUCUACUGACGGUACCGGAAGAAUAAGCACCGGCUAACUACGUGCCAGCAGCCGCGGUAAUACGUAGGGUGCGAGCGUUAAUCGGAAUUACUGGGCGUAAAGCGUGCGCAGGCGGUUUUGUAAGCCAGAUGUGAAAUCCCCGGGCUUAACCUGGGAAUGGCAUUUGGGACUGCAAGGCUCGAGUGCGGCAGAGGAGACUGGAAUUCCUGGUGUAGCAGUGAAAUGCGUAGAUAUCAGGAGGAAUACCGAUGGCGAAGGCAGGUCUCUGGGCUGACACUGACGCUCAUGCACGAAAGCGUGGGGAGCAAACAGGAUUAGAUACCCUGGUAGUCCACGCCCUAAACGAUGUCGACUGGUUGUUGGGGGUUUGACACUCUCAGUAACGAAGCUAACGCGUGGAGUCGACCGCCUGGGGAGUACGGCCGCAAGGUUAAAACUCAAAGGAAUUGACGGGGACCCGCACAAGCGGUGGAUUAUGUGGAUUAAUUCGAUGCAACGCGAAAAACCUUACCUACCCUUGACAUGUCCGAGAGCCGGAAGAGAUUCCGGUGUGCCCGAAAGGGAAUCGGAACACAGGUGCUGCAUGGCUGUCGUCAGCUCGUGUCGUGAGAUGUUGGGUUAAGUCCCGCAACGAGCGCAACCCUUGUCAUUAGUUGCUACAUUUAGUUGGGCACUCUAAUGAGACUGCCGGUGACAAACCGGAGGAAGGUGGGGAUGACGUCAAGUCCUCAAGGCCCUUAUGGGUAGGGCUUCACACGUAAUACAAUGGCG
rnacentral:rRNA from 1 species